GCUCUCAGAGUCUGGCCUUCUGCUGGGCCCCGGGUCUCUCACUGGCAGAAUGGAGUUCUCGGAGCUGAUCCAUACGGGCUGAGCCCAAGCAGAGUUUCUACGGGGCCCGGAGGCGCCCCCGCUUCGCGGCACGGUGUGAGUCACCGUCCACCACCUGCUCCUGUCGCCAGGGCCCGCGUCCUCUCCGGACCUGUGGCUGCUGCUGUUGCGUAGCGUCGACUCCUUCGAGAAGCAGGUUGCGAGUGACUCGGGCACCAUCACCCUGUGCUGUAAAGACCUGCGAGUGCUGCAGCUGGAAAUAGAGGGCGCGGAAGCGACGCUGGGCAUCGCCCGCUCCAUCGAGACCAACGCGUGGCGGCUGAGCGAGGUUCUGCUACGCUCCAGCCAGCCCCUAACUGGUCCCCAGAAGCGGCGCUGCUACAGGGACCAGGAGCUGCUGCGAACUGCGCUGGCGGGGGCUCGUCCUUGGGCGCGGGGCUUCAUCAUGGACACGCUCUCGGCCCAGGCCGCGAAACAAGCCCGCGUGACUGGCGGAGGCACAGAGACCAAGGCCGCUUAACCUGGCUGGUUGCACUGGUCCCUGGAGAGAGGGCGUCCCCUGCAGGAGAGCUUCAUGCGCCUGGUGGAGGCCUGUGGGGACUCGGAGCAAAGCAUGGACAACUGGCUGAGUCGGCUGGACGGCUGCCGCUGACUGUAACAUGUAAAGCAGGCACUGAGCACCACCUGCCUGGCAGUCCAGGGCAUGGAGAGGCACAGACAGCACCCUGCUUGUGACUUCACUGGCCCAACUCAUCCUGGACCCCUUGAGCAAGACCAUGGCUGGAUUCCAGGAACUGGUGGAGUGGAAGUGGAUCCAGGAAAAUGCCGUGUGAAGGGAGGACUCAGAUGCACUCCCUGUGGUCUGGGCUCAACCAGCCAAAAGAGCAACAAAGACUCCAGAACCCACUCUACCUCCUCAAUCCCUUGGCCAUCUGUGGAGCCCCAGAGCCUGCGGCUGUGGCAAGGCCUGUUUCUGCGCUGGACCUGCUCACCUGAGCCUGCAGAAGCUGCAUGGGGGAAGAGUGUGGCAAAUAGUGACAGGAAGGGAGAAGACAGAAGCCUCUCAGCCAACUGCUUCAGCCGAGCCCCUAUUCUAAGCACUGGCUCCUUGGAUAGCAGCUGAGAUGUUCCUGAAACCUCUGCAGGCCCCUUAGGACCUUUACACCUUGGAUGAGGGUGCCUGCAACCCAGGUUAGCCAAAAGUACUGAGGGUCUUAAGUUUGAAGUGUCCAAAGUAUAGGGAGGUCUCAAUAAUAAAAGUCUCCAUGAUCAGCA
rnacentral:lncRNA from 1 species